GACGAACGCUGGCGGCGUGCUUAACACAUGCGAGUCGAACGGAAAGGCCCUGCUUUUGUGGGGUGCUCGAGUGGCGAACGGGUGAGUAACACGUGAGUAACCUGCCCUUGACUUUGGGAUAACUUCAGGAAACUGGGGCUAAUACCAGAUAGGAGCUCCUGCUGCAUGGUGGGGGUUGGAAAGUUUCGGCGGUUGGGGAUGGACUCGCGGCUUAUCAGCUUGUUGGUGGGGUAGUGGCUUACCAAGGCUUUGACGGGUAGCCGGCCUGAGAGGGUGACCGGCCACAUUGGGACUGAGAUACGGCCCAGACUCCUACGGGAGGCAGCAAUGGGGAAUAUUGCACAAUGGGCGGAAGCCUGAUGCAGCAACGCCGCGUGCGGGAUGACGGCCUUCGGGUUGUAAACCGCUUUCGCCUGUGACGAAGCGUGAGUGACGGUAAUGGGUAAAGAAGCACCGGCUAACUACGUG
rnacentral:rRNA from 1 species